GCUGGGCGAGGUGGCGCACCCCUGUAAUCCCAGCUACUUGGGAGGCUGAGGUGGGAGAAUUGCAUGAACCCAGGAGAUGGAGGCUGCAGUGAGCUGAGAUGGUGCCACUGCACUCCAGCCUGGGUGACAGAGCGAGAUCUCAUCUUAA
ensembl:misc_RNA Metazoa_SRP Metazoan signal recognition particle RNA